UUGUCAGAUGUUCAAUUUUGUGCUCCAUAAGUAAUUGACGUCGUGCCUGAUGAAGAGAUUUUGAAUCUCGAAACAUGUUGCACUGAUCUUAUAUUAAGAAUAAAUAAUUUUUCAUCGUU
rnacentral:lncRNA from 1 species